rnacentral:rRNA from 1 species
AUUGAACGCUGGCGGCAGGCCUAACACAUGCAAGUCGAGCGGAUGAAGGGAGCUUGCUCCUGGAUUCAGCGGCGGACGGGUGAGUAAUGCCUAGGAAUCUGCCUGGUAGUGGGGGAUAACGUUCGGAAACGGGCGCUAAUACCGCAUACGUCCUGAGGGAGAAAGUGGGGGAUCUUCGGACCUCACGCUAUCAGAUGAGCCUAGGUCGGAUUAGCUAGUUGGUGGGGUAAAGGCCUACCAAGGCGACGAUCCGUAACUGGUCUGAGAGGAUGAUCAGUCACACUGGAACUGAGACACGGUCCAGACUCCUACGGGAGGCAGCAGUGGGGAAUAUUGGACAAUGGGCGAAAGCCUGAUCCAGCCAUGCCGCGUGUGUGAAGAAGGUCUUCGGAUUGUAAAGCACUUUAAGUUGGGAGGAAGGGCAGUAAGUUAAUACCUUGCUGUUUUGACGGUACCAACAGAAUAAGCACCGGCUAACUUCGUG